rnacentral:rRNA from 1 species
AUCGAACGCUGGCGGCAGGCCUAACACAUGCAAGUCGAACGGUCACAGCAAGCUGCUUGCUGCUUUGCUGACGAGUACCGGACGGGUUAGCAAUGUGUUGGAAACUGCCUGAUGGAGGUUGAUAACUACUGGAAAGGGCAGCUAAUACCGCAUAACGUCGCCCUCUCAAAGGGGGGGACCUUGGUGCCUCUGUUCGUCGGGUAUGCCCAGAUGGGCUUAGCGAGUAGGUGGGGUCAUGGCACACCGAGGCGACGAUCCCAAGCUGGUCUGAGAGGAUGGCCAGCCACAUGGGAAGAGAGACACGGUCCAGACGCCUACGGGAGGCAGCAGUCGAGAAUAUUGCACAAGGGGGGCAAGGCUGAUGCAGCGAUGCGGGGGGUAUGAAGACGGCCUCCGGGUUGGAAAGUACUGUCAGCGGGGAGGAAGGGAGUAAAGUUAAUACCUGUGGUUAUUGACGGUACCCGGAGAAGAAGCACCGGCUAACUCCGUG